rnacentral:tRNA from 1 species
UCCCUGGUAGCUCAGCUGGUUAAGCAUCUGCCUGCAAUGCAGGAGACCCCGGUUCAAUUCCUGGCUCAGGAA